UGUGCCCCGAGACCUCCGCUGCGCCGCAGGCUGUGAACCGGGGAGAGGGCCCGAGCGCAGGCGGAGACGGCGGAGAAGUGCGCGGAGCCUUCGCCCAGUGAGCGCUCGCGGCCGCUGCAGGCCAGGCACCGCUCCAGGGGCUCUGCAGGCCUUAGGUCAGUUAGUUCUGUGCGGCAGCUGCAGUCGCGCCUGUUUCGCAGGCCGGGAAACCGAGGCACGUGGAAGUUCAGUGCUUUGCAGGGAGACAGGCCCAGACGGUGGCUCCAGGGUCUUCCGUAGCCAAGACUUGACCUGGGAAAGCUUGGCAAGGCGGAGGAUCCGGCGACCGGCCCAGAGGCACGCUUUGGCACCCCCAGGGGGUCCCCUGGCACCUUGACUUUCUGGAGCUCCCGUGCGGUGAACACAGUGAUGUUCCGAAGCCGCCUUUGGCCCAGUGGCAUCUAGCUCCUUGUACUUCGUGCUCACCCCCCGCUAAAGCGUCCCGAAGUCUCCGAGCAGGAGCGUGCGUGUUAGAGCUCUGCUCCCAGACGGCGGAGCAGAAAGGGAAGCCUGCCGACCGCUGACAACGGGUCUCCGUUUGGGCCCGGACGGGUCCGCGGUGCGUGUACUUGCCUCGCUGCGUCGGCAGCAAGGAGAUGUAGCCAGGCCUCCUGCGGGUCCACGAGGGGCUGACAGGUGCGUAUCUCACGCUCAUGCUCAGAGGGUCGAGAGAAGCCAGGGCUUCCUCAGGAGCUGGCUUGGUGGUGACGGAGCAGGAGGUAUGCGGCUUGUCCUUGGGGCCUACCUGAGCAGGAGGUGGACUUAACUUCCACGCGGCCUCCAAGGUCCGCUCGGGUGUCCCCUCCCUCAUUCUCUCUUAGCUGGAAUGUGGCGAACGCCGCGCUUUGACACACUGUUUGGGUUCCUAAGUGUGCGAGUCACAGCGCCAGGCCGUGAGUGCUCCGUACGUACUAGAGCAUCGAUGCCGCUCGUCCUGGCAGCAGAAAUGUCUGGGAGAGGCAGAUGUACGCGUUUCCUGUGGCUGCCAGAACAUUUUCAUAAACUUGGUGGUUUAAGUCACCAGAAGUGGUUUAAAACAGCAGAAAUUAUUUUCUCGGGAUCUGGAGGCCAGAUGUCCAAAGUUAAGGUGUGGGCAGAAUUGGUGAUUCUCUGGGGCUCUGGGGAGGGGGGUUCUGCUCUAUGUGUCUGAGCUCCUCUUGCUGCCGGCUUGUUGACCCAUUACCCCCGCCUCUGCCUUGCUCUUCCCGCGGUGUUCCCUGCGCGCCUCUCCUCUCGGGGAUGCUGGUCCUGGUGCUUAUAGCUCGCCCUUCAGCCUGACCUCACCUUAACUUGAUCGUGUCUGCAAAGACCAUUAUCUUCUAAUAAGGCCACAUGCGCAGUGGGCGGCAUAGGCAGGGCUGCAUUUCCGUGAGGACCGCGGGGAAGGAGACCUUGCCGGACCCUGAGGUGGCAGUGGGCAGCAGUCUGGCAAAUUCCUGUGGCCCCCGUACCCGGCUGGGCAGCCUGCGGGCUGGGGCUCCCAGAGGCUCCCCGCCGGCCCCACGCUGUCCCCCCUGCCAUGGGAGGCGUGGGACUGCAGUCUGCCCGGCCGUGUGGCACACCAGGACCUGGCCGGCAGGCAGGCACCUCCUUGCUGCUUGGCACACACGUGGUUGCUUAAUAAAUGUCACUUUUAUUGUUA